CAGCAUGAUCUAGCUUGCUAGAAUGAUGGCGACGGCGCACGGGUGAGUAACGCGUAUCCAACCUUCCUAUAGUAGAGGAUAGCCCGGCGAAAGUCGGAUUAAUACUCUAUGUUGUUCAAUGCGGACAUCAAGUUGAACCAAAGGUUUACCGCUAUAGGAUGGGGAUGCGUCUGAUUAGAUAGUAGGCGGGUAACGGCCACCUAGUCGACGAUCAGUAGGGGUUCUGAGAGGAAGGUCCCCCACAUUGGAACUGAGACACGGUCCAAACUCCUACGGGAGGCAGCAGUGAGGAAUAUUGGUCAAUGGGCGAGAGCCUGAACCAGCCCAAGUAGCGUGCAGGAUGACGGCCCUAUGGGUUGUAAACUGCUUUUAUACGGGGAUAAAGUGAGGGACGUGUCCCUUUUUGUAGGUACCGUAUGAAUAAGGACCGGCUAAUUCCGUGCCAGCCGCGGC
rnacentral:rRNA from 1 species